UACAGAGGUCUCGAGCGUUGUUCGGAUUCAUUGGGCGUAAAGGGUGCGUAGGUGGCGCCGUAAGUCGGGUGUGAAAUUUCGGAGCUUAACUCCGAAACUGCAUUCGAUACUGCGGUGCUUGAGGGCUGGAGAGGAGACUGGAAUUCAUGGUGUAGCAGUGAAAUGCGUAGAGAUCAUGAGGAAGACCAGUGGCGAAGGCGGGUCUCUGGACAGUUCCUGACACUGAGGCACGAAGGCCAGGGGAGCAAACGGG
rnacentral:rRNA from 1 species